rnacentral:tRNA from 3 species
GAGAAUAUAGCAUAAGUUAAUGCAUUUCAUUUACAUUGAAAUUAUAUUUACGUUAGUUAAGUUAUUCUUA